CUGUGUAGAGAGUAGGGUGCUGUUUCACCCUAGGUCUCUGUGUAGAGAGUAGGGUGCUGUUUCACCCUAGGUCUCUGUGUAGAGAGUAGGGUGCUGUUUCACCCUAGGUCUCUGUGUAGAGAGUAGGGUGCUGUUUCACCCUAGGUCUCUGUGUAGGGAGCUGUUUCACCCUAGGUCUCUGUGUAGGGAGCUGUUUCACCCUAGGUCUCUGUGUAGGGAGCUGUUUCACCCUAGGUCUCUGUGUAGAGAGUAGGGUGCUGUUUCACCCUAGGUCUCUGUGUAGGGAGCUGUUUCACCCUAGGUCUCUGUGUAGGGAGCUGUUUCACCCUAGGUCUCUGUGUAGAGAGUAGGGUGCUGUUUCACCCUAGGUCUCUGUGUAGGGUGCCGUUUCACCCUAGGUCUCUGUGUAGAGAGUAGGGUGCUGUUUCACCCUAGGUCUCUGUGUAGGGUGCCGUUUCACCCUAGGUCUCUGUGUAGGGAGCUGUUUCACCCUAGGUCUCUGUGUAGGGAGCUGUUUCACCCUAGGUCUCUGUGUAGGGAGUAGGGUGCCGUUUCACCCUAGGUCUCUGUGUAGGGUGCUGUUUCACCCUAGGUCUCUGUGUAGAGAGUAGGGUGCCGUUUCACCCUAGAUCUCUGUGUAGGGAGUAGGGAGCUGUUUCACCCUAGGUCUCUGUGUAGGGAGUAGGGUGCCGUUUCACCCUAGAUCUCUGUGUAGAGAGUAGGGUGCCGUUUCACCCUAGAUCUCUGUGUAGGGAGUAGGGUGCCGUUUCACCCUAGGUCUCUGUGUAGGGAGCUGUUUCACCCUAGGUCUCUGUGUAGGGUAGUAGGGUGCCGUUUCACCCUAGGUCUCUGUGUAGGGAGCUGUUUCACCCUAGGUCUCUGUGUAGAGAGUAGGGUGCCGUUUCACCCUAGGUCUCUGUGUAGAGAGUAGGGUGCCGUUUCACCCUAGGUCUCUGUGUAGGGAGUAGGGAGCUGUUUCACCCUAGGUCUCUGUGUAGAGAGUAGGGAGCUGUUUCACCCUAGGUCUCUGUGUAGAGAGUAGGGAGCUGUUUCACCCUAGGUCUCUGUGUAGGGAGCUGUUUCACCCUAGGUCUCUGUGUAGAGAGUAGGGAGCUGUUUCACCCUAGGUCUCUGUGUAGGGAGCUGUUUCACCCUAGGUCUCUGUGUAGAGAGUAGGGUGCCGUUUCACCCUAGGUCUCUGUGUAGGGUGCCGUUUCACCCUAGGUCUCUGUGUAGGGAGUAGGGUGCCGUUUCACCCUAGGUCUCUGUGUAGAGAGUAGGGAGGUGUUUCACCCUAGGUCUCUGUGUAGGGUAGUAGGGUGCCGUUUCACCCUAGAUCUCUGUGUAGGGAGUAGGGAGCUGUUUCACCCUAGAUCUCUGUGUAGAGAGUAGGGUGCCGUUUCACCCUAGGUCUCUGUGUAGGGAGCUGUUUCACCCUAGGUCUCUGUGUAGGGAGUAGGGUGCUGUUUCACCCUAGGUCUCUGUGUAGGGAGUAGGGAGCUGUUUCACCCUAGGUCUCUGUGUAGGAAGUAGGGUGCUGUUUCACCCUAGGUCUCUGUGUAGGGAGUAGGGAGCUGUUUCACCCUAGGUCUCUGUGUAGGGAGUAGGGUGCCGUUUCACCCUAGGUCUCUGUGUAGAGAGCUGUUUCACCCUAGGUCUCUGUGUAGGGAGCUGUUUCACCCUAGGUCUCUGUGUAGAGAGCUGUUUCACCCUAGGUCUCUGUGUAGAGAGCUGUUUCACCCUAGGUCUCUGUGUAGAGAGCUGUUUCACCCUAGGUCUCUGUGUAGAGAGCUGUUUCACCUUAGGUCUCUGUGUAGGGAGCUGUUUCACCCUAGGUCUCUGUGUAGAGAGCUGUUUCACCCUAGGUCUCUGUGUAGAGAGCUGUUUCACCCUAGGUCUCUGUGUAGAGAGCUGUUUCACCCUAGGUCUCUGUGUAGAGAGCUGUUUCAC